rnacentral:lncRNA from 1 species
CUGAGUAAAAAAUAGUCUAUUUAGACUAAAUGAGAACAAGGAUCAAAAGAAGAGAUUCAUCAAGAAAAGGGUCUGCCAGGUCAAAGUAGAAAAAAAAUCUGCCAGAGUGACAAAGGACCUAUUUGGGGCCAGUAGGUAGGGAUAGAUGGGCGUUGCUGCUACAGCCACAGCCCAGGUCAGGUUGACCCCAGAGAUACAGCAUGGAGGGUAGUCUGCAUGCUGGUGCCAACAGACAGGCAGAUCAGGAUCAAGGACUUGGCUGGGUGACGAGAGCAAGCACUGACCCGGGCGGAAGUUACACUACAUCUCUUAUACAAAAUCUUUGCUUUCAAAGGAUCAGCAUUAUGCUGUCAAGAACCUCAGGUCUCUGUGAACAGUCUCCAUAAACAAACAGGAUUGCAUUCAAGAAAUAUCUGUCGCCAAUUUCUCCUUCCAGUGAAAACAGUCCUGUGCACCAAGAACACUGCUACAUGGAAGGCAAAUGCUAAUAUCAGCAUAAGAAUCAAGUUUCCCAGAAGAGAAAGGCUGAGCUGAUAUCUGCAAUCAAGCUGGAACACUUAAUGGAGGUGCUCAGAUAACUCAACAAUGGCCAAAAAAUAAUUAAAACAAGACCUAAACAAUUGCUGGAGCCCUCUAAAAAGUAACCAAGUCAAAUUUCUGUAGCUUUCCAGAAAAGACAGAAAUAUGACCAGAUUUUUUGAGGCAACUUGAAGCGUGGCUGAGCAGACUGAAAAAAUCUGCUGAAGCAAAGAACAUUUGGAUUAGCAUACAAAAAAGAACCUAUGAAACCUACAGUAAGACAAACUAAUGAUUCAUUUAGCACAUUAUUUUUUCUUUAACAAUACCUAAUAUUAAAGGUUUAGGGGAAAGGUGAAAAAAGCCUUGUAUGGUGCUCUGUACUAUCGAUUCUGGUUCUCUGCUUCUUUAGGAUUUCCAGGUGGCACUCAGUAAUGGAUCAAGAAAAUGGUGAGCAACAGGAUACGACGGAUCACAUAUCUUCCUACAAAACAAGAAAUUUUUUUCAUCUGGAACUUACUGAUACAAUUCGUCUGAAGCAAGAACUCAAAGUGCUGGAAAAAUAAAUAAAAUAAAAUAAAAUAAAAUAAAAAAACA